GCUUACGACCACACGGGCUGAGUACGCCUGAUCUCGUCUGAUCUCGGAAGCUAAGCAGGGUCGGGCCUGGUUAGUACUUGGAUGGGAGACUUCCUGGGAAUACCAGGUGCUGUAAGCU
ensembl:rRNA 5S_rRNA 5S ribosomal RNA